GUGGCCGGAGUCUCGGAGUUGAUGCCGAGGAGAGGACUGAGGCCACGUCGAUGCCGAGGGGCCGUCGGGGCGCUCCCCGCCGCCCGCCGGCAUCCCCCGGGGGUGGUGGUGCCUCGUUCUCGGAUCUCGGCACCUCGCCUUUGGCUCUUUCCUGCGCGCUCUGAGAUAGGGGCGUUAAACGCGACUUGAAAUCGAGGAUGUGGAGUGGCAGUUUCGCAGAGACCAGAUAAUACAGGAGGAGAAACAAUCCCUCUUAAAUACCCAUGAAAAGGCCAGUGAAAUAAAAGUAAUGCUCAUUUAUUAAAUAUUCAGUUCCUAAAGGGUGGGAGCUGAGCAUUUUUUUCGCUUUCUCAAAGUGAGAAAGGGCAGGAUUGCAUGCAUCUCUGUCUACACUGAAAGAAUACAUUUUCCUCUGUCCUUAGUUACUUACAUUCUCUAUAUUUGUCUGGAAGCAGGGCCAUAGCAAACAUAAACUCUCAAAAAAUAAAAGCUAUGAUGUAUCUCUGUCCACCUGUUUAUGUGUUACAGGAAGGACCUAGAGGGGCAAUACAAAGUUCCAUUUUAUUUGAGGUUUACAUGUAUCUUGAGGUAGGAAGACUUCGAGAAAGGCACUGAGCUGGUCUUAAAUCAAAACCAUAUGAAAUCUGGUUGAACAGAAGCUAUCUUAUCAUUUUCUAAAAUAUAGUUUUUUGGAUCUUACUUACUGCUGCUGGUUUCUAUAAAACAUACAAUGUCAAUGGAAUUAAUGUAGUUUACCAGUGUAAAAUAGGAGCAUCUCACUGGUGAACCCAAUGUACAUUUUCAGAAUUAAUAUUUCUGUCAGUGAUUUCAAAGGCCAGCCAGAGAACACUCAUAUGCUUCUAAGGGACAAAAUACAGCUAUUGCUGUUGUUCAAAAGCUGCUCUAAAUAAUAAAAUAUUAUUUAUGUCUAAUUUUACUAAACCUCUGGUGCUCAUCAUGCAUGUAAAGCGGGAAGAGUAAUAACUGUAUUGGCAGACAAGGAAUAAACUAUGAUAUCGUGAAAUGUUGAUGACAGACUAUUUAGGGUGACACUUUAAACACAAUAGAUAGUACGUAACAUUACUUCAAACAUUUAUUGAAUGUCCUCUGAUGAUUUUUCUACCUUGAUAUAAUCAUUAGUUAACCUAUCAGUAACUUUGAUUGCACUGCAGGGUGAAGAAUAUGAGCUUCAUGUAAGAAAUUAUAUACUGAAUAUAGACAAAUAAAGCAUACCUUGAUAAACAUAUGAAAGUCUCAACUAUUAUGUCAGCUGAUAAAUACCUGAGUCUAGGUUUAUCAUACAGUAGUUACAAAGGCAUAUCACAGGAAUUUACACAUGCUGUAAUAAAAUGAAUAAGCAGGAUUUAUUCUCAAUGAUACCUGAAACUAAUUUUAAUUCAACUAAUCAUUAAUUUCUACAUUAUUUCUCCAAGUGUCAAGGAAGAUAGUAAUUUUAAGAACAGUAACACGCAUUGAGAACAGCGUCUCUAACCCAGAACUAUUUCCACCCUCAUCAAGAUUCUUCACACAAGGGAUGGAAAUAUUCCAAAAACAUCAAUGUGUUACAUAAUAAUCCCAUGUACAGCAACUGAGGACAGCAGAAAGCCAAAAGCUUGUAUCACUGAGUAACCAGUCACAAUCUGGUGUCUUCUCCUUAUGUUUUGGGUGGGAGGAACAAUAACAUUGCUCUCCCAAGCAACGGGACUGCUGUACUAGUAAAUUAAAUAGUCCUUGUGACCAUUCUCUAGCCUGGAUGACAACUAAAAUAGUCUGGCCAUGCUAUCAAACCCUCUGAGCCUCCAAACAUGCCCAUCCGUGUGCGUCCAAAUGCUGCGUGGUCCCAGAAGUCAUCUGGGAGGUCGUUGGUUGAAUCAGACCACACCAGGCCAUUUCCCAAUCUUUCCUCCAUGAAGGAUCAUAUUUUCAGAUCAGCAAUUAAAUUCAUCCUCACUGAAUGUUUUAGGUCUGCACCAUGUACAAGACCCUAGGUAGUUUCUGGGGCAUGUCAUGUCUGCUCAGUGCUGGGGAUGUCUUGGUAUGUGGCUUCAACCUUGGUACCACCAAGGGGAAGCUGCUUGGGUUAUACUACUUGGGCACUCAAUUGAAUUUUGCAGGACUCCAAGCACAGAUGCAAAGCAAGUUCAUAUCUAGAAAGAGCUCCUUCAGUAAUUUGAUAUGCUUAUAUAGAUGUACCCAGCUUGCAAAGGAUUUAUAACAGAAACAAAACAAAACAAAACAACAAAAAACAAUUCUCAAAAAUAAACUUCUCAAUGUUGGUAAAGAAAAGUUCUGUUGCUGUAUGGUUACAUCCAGUUGCAAUUACACUAGUUUAUACAAUAUUUAAGUGUUCAGAUAUUUGGUUUCUUGGCUCAGAUUUGAAAGAAAAUAUUGUGUAAUUCAUGAAUGAGGUGAGUAGAAUUGUAGUUAGGUGAAGAAGGAUAUCUUACUCAAAACUGAGGAAUGUAUCAAACAUCCUAGGCUUGGAUACACAGAUGAUGGUUGGCACAAAUGAAGAGUAUUCACACAGACUGAAACUAAAUUUAGUGGAAGGACUUGGGCAUUCCCUCUAGUCCCUUCACAGUGUAAAUCACAAGUCUUCUGUUCCAGCUCAGAAUUUGCUGAGAAGAGUGAGAGAUCUUAUCUGUACAAAUGCCCCUUCUCCCCUCCCCAGUUCAUCUCCUAGUAACUUUUGGAGUAGUUCGGACAGGCUCAAAACUCAAGGUUACCUAACCUGUCAGCAGAUCUUUACCUACAUUUGCUGACUUUCAUCAACUAAUUCUUUAGUUUCUUCCACAUGCAGUUUGGCCAUUUGAAAUG